AACCAAACAGUUUUGGUGAUGAUUAACUUUUGCAUUUAGCAUAUGCUUGUAUCCAAUUACAUUGCAUUCAACCUUCCACUGUACAAGCAAAGAAAUAAAUAAAAAAAUCUUCAUGUUCCAUAGAAGAAAGAAAGUCGUGUAGGUUUGAAACAACGUGAGGGUGAAUUAAUUUUUUUUUGGUGAACUAUCUUAUUAACUGUGUCACCAACCUAACACUAGUUCACUUGUUUAGAAAUCCUUUAACAAUUUGUAUUUCAGUCGAUAAAAAGUCUCACUCCAUCUGUUUAUACUGUCACAUUAAUCUUAAGCUGGCUUGAUGAUGCAUUGAAGUGAUAGUGAAGGUUAAAUGGUUUGAAAGGUUACCUCUGAUCAUUGGUUUAUCAUGCAAAUUAAGCCAAAUUUCAUUCUUUGUCGUUUUUUUUGCCUUUUAGGACAUAUUUUUGAUGGAUACAAAUGAUGAUGCAUCAUUUGAAUAUCUACUCUGAUUGGUCUGUUUGCUAACUGGGGGAGCAUUCAGACUCUUAAAGUCUCCACUUCUUACAAGGCAUGCAAGAACACAUUAGUAAGCAACUGAUUAUGGAGUGGAGCUUCAAGUUCUCAAGUGUCACAGAGCAUGAAUGCUGGAGUUUUGGAAAGAGGAGAGAUUUGAUUUAUGUUUCAAAAGAGAGACUGAGUGAAAGAGGAAAGGAUGGGCAGGAAGAUGAAAAAUGAUUAUUUACGUGACCUUUAUGUUAAUUCGGUGAUGACUCUGGUUUUCUAUUUAUCAUCCUGAAUCACAUAAACCAUGAGAGAGACACAGACAGCUCUGAAUGUUCACAUCAAUCUGAGUGUGUGUGUGUGUGUGUAAGAGAGAUUUGAGCAAAGGGAACUUUUUUGCUGGUGCUGUUUGAUAAAAUCGCAUGAAAGCAUGUCAGUGGAGACAUGCUGACAAACAAACAGACAAAAAGAUGGAGUUUCGUUUGAGAAGUGAAAGGGGUAGAAAACAGAAGGACAGGACGGAGAAAUGGAUUUGCUGGCCAAAACAACUGUAUAUAGGAUAAGUAAAAAUCCUAUAAAGGCCCUAAAAAGUAUGCUAUUUAGACACUGAAGUCACACAACACCAUGUAUACAUUUAAUAAGAUCACAAAAUUUCAACUCAAAUGACAUUUACAGACAUAUGAUAUAAAUUUUCUCACAACUAACUUGACUUUCCUGAGCUAUUUCUGUAAUUACUUUUAACCAACAGGUUUUAAGUGGAUGUACAGUAUGAAGUCAGUUCCCCUCAAUAACUGCAGUGUUGUCUCAGCAACCAAUGGCACACUGAUCGUCUGAUGCAUACUGCCC
ensembl:lncRNA